rnacentral:rRNA from 1 species
UACGUAGGGGGCAAGCGUUGUCCGGAUUUACUGGGCGUAAAGAGCGUGUAGGCGGCCAAACAGGUCCGUUGUGAAAACUGGAGGCUCAACCUCCAGACGUCGACGGAAACCGUGUGGCUAGAGUCCGGAAGAGGAGAGUGGAAUUCCUGGUGUAGCGGUGAAAUGCGCAGAUAUCAGGAAGAACACCUAUGGCGAAGGCAGCACUCUGGGACGGUACUGACGCUGAGACGCGAAAGCGUGGGGAGCGAACAGG